AAAGUACUCCCUCCGUACCAAAAUUCUUGUCUUAGAUUUGUCUAGAUACGGAUGUAUCAAAUCACAUUUUAGUAUUAGAUACAUCCGUGUCUAGACAAAUCUAAGACAAGAAAUUUGGGACAGAGGGAGUAGUUG
rnacentral:pre_miRNA from 1 species